GACGAACGCUGGCGGCGUGCUUAACACAUGCAAGUCGAACGGUAAGGCCCUUCGGGGUACACGAGUGGCGAACGGGUGAGUAACACGUGGGUGAUCUGCCCUGCACUUCGGGAUAAGCCUGGGAAACUAGGUCUAAUACCGGAUAGGACCACUGCCUGCAUGGGUGGUGGUGGAAAGCUUUUGCGGUGUGGGAUGGGCCCGCGGCCUAUCAGCUUGUUGGUGGGGUGAGGGCCUACCAAGGCGACGACGGGUAGCCGGCCUGAGAGGGUGACCGGCCACACUGGGACUGAGAUACGGCCCAGACUCCUACGGGAGGCAGCAGUGGGGAAUGUUGCACAAUGGGCGCAAGCCUGAUGCAGCGACGCCGCGUGAGGGAUGACGGCCUUCGGGUUGUAAACCUCUUUCAGCACCGACGAAGCGCAAGUGACGGUAGGUGCAGAAGAAGGACCGGCCAACUACGUGCCAGCCGCCGCGGUAA
rnacentral:rRNA from 1 species